rnacentral:rRNA from 1 species
ACGUAGGGUGCGAGCGUUAAUCGGAAUUACUGGGCGUAAAGCGUGCGCAGGCGGUUAUGUAAGACAGUUGUGAAAUCCCCGGGCUCAACCUGGGAAUUGCAUCUGUGACUGCAUAGCUAGAGUGCGGCAGAGGGGGAUGGAAUUCCGCGUGUAGCAGUGAAAUGCGUAGAUAUGCGGAGGAACACCGAUGGCGAAGGCAAUCCCCUGGGCCUGCACUGACGCUCAUGCACGAAAGCGUGGGGAGCAAACAGGAUUAGAUACCCUGGUAGUCCACGCCCUAAACGAUGUCAACUGGUUGUUGGGUGCAUUAGUACUCAGUAACGAAGCUAACGCGUGAAGUUGACCGCCUGGGGAGUACGGCCGCAAGGUUG